rnacentral:sRNA from 1 species
GUUGGCGAGGAAGCAGAAAACUUAUCACUUUUGUAUUCUGAUGAUGACAAUGAUGGUGCUGGU